UGCUGGAACGCGCCCCAGGCGCACCCAGAAACCCUUUGUGAACUUAUACCUUACUGUUGCCUCGGCGCAUGCUGGCCCCCUGGGGGUCCCUCACUCCGGUGAGGAGCAGGCACGCCGGCGGCCAAGUUAACUCUUGUUUUUACACUGAAACUCUGAGAAAAAACACAAAUGAAUCAAAACUUUCAACAACGGAUCUCUUGGUUCUGGCAUCGAUGAAGAACGCAGCGAAAUGCGAUAAGUAAUGUGAAUUGCAGAAUUCAGUGAAUCAUCGAAUCUUUGAACGCACAUUGCGCCCUCUGGUAUUCCGGAGGGCAUGCCUGUUCGAGCGUCAUUUCAACCCUCAAGCAUUGCUUGGUGUUGGGGCACUGCCUGUAAAAGGGCAGGCCCUGAAAUCUAGUGGCGAGCUCGCCAGGACCCCGAGCGCAGUAGUUAAACCCUCGCUUUGGAAGGCCCUGGCGGUGCCCUGCCGUUAAACCCCCAACUUUUGAAAAUUUGACCUCGGAUCAGGUAGGAAUACCCGCUGAACUUAAGCAUAU
rnacentral:rRNA from 1 species